CGUUAAGCACAGCUCAGUAGCACGUGGCUAACCUGCCCUUGGGACGGAAGAACCCCCGGGAAACUGGGGCUAAUUUCCGAUAGGUGAUGAUACCUGGAAUGGUUUUUUGCUCAAAGGACGCUUAGGACAUGCUUCUAGGCGUUGCCCAAGGAUGGGGCCGCGGCCGAUCAGGUUGUUGGUGAGGUAACGGCUCACCAAGCCUUUAACCGGUGCGGGCCGUGGGAGCGGAAGCCCGGAGAUGGGCACUGAGACAAGGGCCCAGGCCCUACGGGGCGCAGCAGUCGCGAAAAUUUCGCAAUAAGCGAAAGCUUGACGGAGCUAUCCCGAGUGCCAUCCGCUGAGGAUGGCUUUUCCCUAGUAUAGAUAGCUGGGGGAAUAAGGAGAGGGCAAGUCUGGUGUCAGCCGCCGCGGUAAUACCAGCUCUCCGAGUGGUGGGGAUGAUUAUUGGGCCUAAAGCAUCCGUAGCCGGCUGGGCAAGUCCCCUGUUAAACCCAACGAUUUAAUCGUUGGUCUGCGGGGGAUACUGCUUGGCUAGGGGGCGAGAGAGGCCGUCGGUAUUCCCGGGGUAGGGGUGAAAUCCUAUAAUCCCGGGAGGACCACCAGUGGCGAAGGCUGUCGGCUAGAACGCGCCCGGCGGUGAGGGAUGAAAGCUGGGGGAGCGAACCGGAUUAGAUACCCGGGUAGUCCCAGCUGUAAACGAUGCAGGCUAGGUGUUAGGGCGGCCACGUGCCGCUCUAGUGCCGCAGGGAAGCUGUUAGCCUGCCGCCUGGGGAAAACGGCUGCAAGGCUGAACUUAAAGGCCA
rnacentral:rRNA from 1 species